GAGUUUGAUCGUGGCUCAGAUUGAACGCUGGCGGCAGGCCUAACACAUGCAAGUCGAGCGGAUGACGGGAGCUUGCUCCUUGAUUCAGCGGCGGACGGGUGAGUAAUGCCUAGGAAUCUGCCUGGUAGUGGGGGACAACGUUUCGAAAGGAACGCUAAUACCGCAUACGUCCUACGGGAGAAAGCAGGGGACCUUCGGGCCUUGCGCUAUCAGAUGAGCCUAGGUCGGAUUAGCUAGUUGGUGGGGUAAUGGCUCACCAAGGCGACUAUCCGUAACUGGUCUGAGAGGAUGAUCAGUCACACUGGAACUGAGACACGGUCCAGACUCCUACGGGAGGCAGCAGUGGGGAAUAUUGGACAAUGGGCGAAAGCCUGAUCCAGCCAUGCCGCGUGUGUGAAGAAGGUCUUCGGAUUGUAAAGCACUUUAAGUUGGGAGGAAGGGCAGUAAGUUAAUACCUUGCUGUUUUGACGUUACCGACAGAAUAAGCACCGGCUAACUCUGUGCCAGCAGCCG
rnacentral:rRNA from 1 species